rnacentral:rRNA from 1 species
UACGUAGGUGGCAAGCGUUGUCCGGAUUUACUGGGUGUAAAGGGCGUGCAGCCGGGCUGACAAGUCAGAUGUGAAAUCCCGCGGCUCAACCGCGGAACUGCAUUUGAAACUGUCAGUCUUGAGUACCGGAGAGGUCAUCGGAAUUCCUUGUGUAGCGGUGAAAUGCGUAGAUAUUAGGAGGAACACCAGUGGCGAAGGCGAUUUGCUGGGCCAUUACUGACGCUCAUGCACGAAAGCGUGGGGAGCAAAUAGG